rnacentral:rRNA from 1 species
UACGAAGGGGGCUAGCGUUGUUCGGAUUUACUGGGCGUAAAGGGCGCGUAGGCGGUCAGCACAAGUCAGUUGUGAAAUCUCCGGGCUUAACUCGGAAAGGUCAACUGAUACUGUGCGACUAGAGUGCGGAAGGGGCAACUGGAAUUCUCGGUGUAGCGGUGAAAUGCGUAGAUAUCGAGAGGAACACCUGCGGCGAAGGCGGGUUGCUGGGCCGACACUGACGCUGAUGCGCGAAAGCCAGGGGAGCGAACGGG